UACGUAGGGCGCAAGCGUUGUCCGGAAUUAUUGGGCGUAAAGGGCUCGUAGGCGGUUUGUCGCGUCGGGAGUGAAAUCCACUGGCUUAACUGGUGGCUUGCUUUCGAUACGGGCAGACUGGAGGCAUGCAGGGGAGAACGGAAUUCCUGGUGUAGCGGUGAAAUGCGCAGAUAUCAGGAGGAACACCGGUGGCGAAGGCGGUUCUCUGGGCAUGUCCUGACGCUGAGGAGCGAAAGUGUGGGGAUCAAACAGG
rnacentral:rRNA from 1 species